rfam:Aedes aegypti strain Liverpool supercont1.91 genomic scaffold, whole genome shotgun sequence.
UGCCCAGCAACUCCUAUCCCUACCUUUUCGCGGUACUGGAAGGGGUACGAGUAACCUUAGGGAAGAUGGGGUAACCAACCCCCGGUGGGAACUUUGGUCAUAUGCUGACAGGGAAGG